AUUUUCUUCUGUUCCAUCGUUUCUUCUUCAUUUUCUCUUUCGUUCAUAGCCAUCGUUCAAUUAAAGGGGAGGAAUGGAAGCUAAUCAAGCUUUGCAGGCCCGAUUCUCAAGUUCUGUGUCUACUACACUUGAAGAUGCAGGAAUUGCAAACACGGAUAUUAACUCAUCUAUUGAUCAUUCAUUGCAACUUGAUCAUAAAGCUUGUGGGAUUUUGAAUUCCAUGAUUACCCCAUGCUGUGCUGAGUUGACAGAAUGGAAGGGUGGUCAUUACAACAGAAUUGUGGAGAUAACUGAAAAUGCAGGAAAAUGUCUUCUCAAUGAGUACAUGGGACUAAUUGUGAAGUGUUUAGUGUUGAGAUUCCCAUUAAGGGUGUUGCUCCAAAAUUCAAAAGUUAAACUGGCAUUGUUGGCGACGUGAACAUAAGCGAAAUGCAAGGUGCUAAGAUAAGCAAAAUUUCAGAAGGUAUGCAAUUGAGGAGAUUGAAGCUGCGACGAGUUUUUUUGCUGAGUCACUUAGGAUUGGAGAAGGUGGUUAUGGUCCUGUUUAUAGAUGUCUUCCAGACCAUACUCCCGUUGCAGUUAAAGUUCUUCAUCCUGAUGCACAACAAGGAAGCUCACAGUUUCAACGAGAGGCAAAUAAGAAAAUUGAAGAUGCUAAGUUGGCAAGAGAUUUCCAAACCACAUUGAAGGAAUUUCAGAAAGUUCAACUUGCUUCUGAGCGCGAAUCAACUUAUACUCCUGCUGCCUCUGCUUCUUCUUUACCGACAAGGAAGACACUUUCAAUUCGGAAAGCAGUGCAACUAAAAGAGCGACAUCAGUACCAGAUGAGGUUUUCCAUAGAUCCAAAGGAGUUCAAUUAUGCAAUACUCAGGAUCACCAAUGCACUCCUGCCUUUUUUGCUGAAUUUUUUUUUUUUUUCUCAAACAUGCAAAAAUUAACAGACAUCAAAGAAGAUACCAUGAAGCUUAUUGUUCCACAGAUUGCCAGAAAAACAUCGAAACUGAUGGCUCCCUUUUCGAAAGAACAUGCAUCUCUUUACAUUAUAGAGUUGGAUCCAAAUUAAUGUUUGGGACAUAGUACAUAUAUAAAUAUAGUGACAGUUUGCAAGAAUAGUUUGUCAUGCAUUUGAGAGAUUAUAGCUCUACCGUGUGAUAUAUAAAUAUUUGAUAUAUGAGUGUGAGCAGUUAAAACAUAUGUGAUUUGUC